UACGAAGGGGGCUAGCGUUGUUCGGAUUCAUUGGGCGUAAAGGGCUCGUAGGCUGCCAACUAAGUCGGACGUGAAAUCCCUCGGCUUAACCGGGGAACUGCGUCCGAUACUGGAUGGCUUGAGUUUGGGAGAGGGAUGCGGAAUUCCAGGUGUAGCGGUGAAAUGCGUAGAUAUCUGGAGGAACACCGGUGGCGAAGGCGGCAUCCUGGACCAACACUGACGCUGAGUGAGCGAAAGCCAGGGGAGCAAACGGG
rnacentral:rRNA from 1 species